GAUAUCUCGGAGCUUCAACAAAUUGCUAGCGACAAUCAUGAUGUACUACAGGUUAAUGGGUACCAGCAGUUAAUCCCCAAACUAGAGUCCAUAAUGACCAUGGCUUGUGAAGAUCAGUAUCCAGGUGAUUGCGGUGAGUGGGGAUCUUACGGAGGCUGCAGUAGGAAUUGUGGUGGCGGAGCGCAGGUUCGUACCAGAAGUUGUCCUCCUAAAAGUCUACAUUUAACGAAACAAAGGAAGCAUUGCAACACAAACCUUUGUCCAGGACAAGAGCCCUGUGAAGACGUUGCAGAGGAAUGUGCAGUC